CCCUUAGAUGUUCUGGGCCGCACACGCGCUACACUGAAGGAGGCAGCGUGUACUCCUGGAUCGAAAGACUUGGGUAACCCGCGAAUCUCCUUCGUGCUAGGGAUUGAGGUUUGCAAUUAUCCUUCAUGAACGAGGAAUUCCCAGUAAGUGCAAGUCAUAAGCUUGCGCUGACUACGUCCCUGCCCUUUGUACACACCGCCCGUCGCUACUACCGAUUGAAUGAUUUAGUGAGGACUUCGGACUGGGACCGAUGCGGCUUUCGGGCUGCGUCGGUAUUCUGGAAAGAUGUCCAAACUGUAUCAUUUAGAGGAAGUAAAAGUCGUANCA
rnacentral:rRNA from 1 species